UGGGGAAUAUUGCACAAUGGGGGAAACCCUGAUGCAGCGACGCCGCGUGAGCGAAGAAGGCCUUCGGGUCGUAAAGCUCUUUUAUAUGGGAAGAUAAUGACGGUACCAUAAGAAAAAGCCCCGGCUAACUACGUGCCAGCAGCCGCGGUAAUACGUAGGGGGCUAGCGUUGUCCGGAAUCACUGGGCGUAAAGGGUUCGCAGGCGGCAAUGCAAGUCAGAUGUAAAAGGCAAAGGCUCAACCUUUGUAAGCAUCUGAAACUGUAUAGCUUGAGAAGUGUAGAGGCAAGUGGAAUUUUUAGUGUAGCGGUGGAAUGCGUAGAUAUUAGGAGGAAUACCGGUGGCGAAGGCGACUUGCUGGACUUCAACUGACGCUGAGGAACGAAAGCGUGGGUAGCAAACAGG
rnacentral:rRNA from 1 species